rnacentral:tRNA from 1 species
GAAGAUGCCGCCGAGUGGACGGCAAACGGUCUUGAAAACCGUGGUGCGGCAGCAGUCGCAGGGGUUCGAUCCCUCCAUCUUCC